rnacentral:lncRNA from 1 species
GGGGGGGGGGGGAGGGGAGGGGAUAUGAAGAGUGUAGGGUGAAAAUUUUGGAAUUAUUCGGGCGACCUAGGGUUUUGGGUGUGAUUUUCGGAUUUACGAUUUGCGAAUUUGGGUGAAACUGAUAGUAAGAUAGUGUAAAGGGGAAGUUGAAGAUUGUAGAGGGUGAAUUUGGGGUAUUUUGGUAAAACUCUGCCGCCGUAGGAAAAUUUUCGGGCGGCGGAGAUGGGUGGAGCCGGCGAGGGAACCUAGGGCGCUAUAGUUUCUGGUCUGAGAGCUUGAGAGAUGAAUGAGAGAGGGAUCUAUGAAGUUGGGGUUUCAAAACAUUUUAUGGAUUAUGAGUUGUAAGAUCAAAGCCGUUGGAUCAAAAGAAUCCAACAGCUGUGAUGAAAUAUGAGGGAAAACAGGAUCAUUUUGGGGCUAAGGGGAUUGGACCGGGUAGACAGGUCUUUG